CAGUCGAACGAUGACGCCCUUCCUUGUGCAUGAUGGGCAAAGGGGUGAGUAUGAGUUGUAUAUUCUACCCUUCCCUCUGGGGCGGGCCCUGGAAUCGGGGUCUAAUAUCGGAUAACACUUUCCUCUGCGAGGAGGAAGGUUGAUCGCUCCAGCUGUGAAGGAUGAACCCGCGGACUAUCAACUUGUUGGUGGGGUGAUGGCCCACCUAGGCGACGACGGGUAGCCGGCCUGAGAGGGCGACCGGCCACACUGGGACUGAGACACGGCCCAGACUCCUACGGGAGGCAGCAGUGGGGAAUAUUGUUUGAUGGGCGAAAGCCUGAUGCAUCGACCCCUGGUGAGGGAUGACGGCCUUCGGGUUGUAUACCUCUUUCUUCUGGGAAGAAACAAAAGUGACGGUACCUGCACAAUAAGCGCCGGCUAACUACGUGCCAGCAGCCGCGGUAAUACAUAUGGCGCAAGCGUUGUCCGGAAUUAUUGGGCGUAAAGAGCUCGUAGGCGGCUUGUCUCGUCGGAUGUGAAAGCCCGGGGCUUAACCCCGGGUCUGCAUUCGAUACGGGCAGGCUAGAGUGUGGUAGGGGAGAUCGGAAUUCCUGGUGUAGAGGUGAAAUGCGCACAUAUCAUGAGGAACACCGGUGGCGAAGGCGGAUCUCUGGGCCAUUACUGACGCUGAGGAGCGAAAGCGUGGGGAGCGAACAGG
rnacentral:rRNA from 1 species